rnacentral:rRNA from 1 species
GUAGGUGGCAAGCGUUGUCCGGAAUUAUUGGGCGUAAAGCGCGCGCAGGCGGUUCUUUAAGUCUGAUGUGAAAGCCCACGGCUCAACCGUGGAGGGUCAUUGGAAACUGGAGAACUUGAGUACAGAAGAGGAAAGCGGAAUUCCACGUGUAGCGGUGAAAUGCGUAGAGAUGUGGAGGAACACCAGUGGCGAAGGCGGCUUUCUGGUCUGUAACUGACGCUGAGGCGCGAAAGCGUGGGGAGCAAACAGGGAUUAGAUACCCUGGUAGUCCACGCCGUAAACGAUGAGUGCUAAGUGUUAGGGGGUUUCCGCCCCCUUAGUGCUGCAGCUAACGCAUUAAGCACUCCGCCUGGGGAGUACGCCGCAAGGCUG